UACGAAGGGGGCUAGCGUUGCUCGGAAUGACUGGGCGUAAAGGGCGCGUAGGCGGUUUGUACAGUCAGGUGUGAAAUUCCCGGGCUCAACCUGGGGGCUGCACUUGAUACGUAUGGACUGGAGUGGGGAAGAGGGUCGUGGAAUUCCCAGUGUAGAGGUGAAAUUCGUAGAUAUUAGGAAGAACACCAGUGGCGAAGGCGGCUCACUGGCUCGGUACUGACGCUGAGGCGCGAAAGCGUGGGGAGCAAACAGG
rnacentral:rRNA from 1 species